UACCAAGAGAUGCAAGAUGCAAAUUGCUUCUGACCCUACCUUCUGAUAGAGAUGGAAACGAACACAUUUGCCAGAUGUGAUGGUUGGCACUCCAGCAUUCA